rnacentral:tRNA from 1 species
GCUGGCUCAGUCAGUAGAGCAUGUGACUCUUGAUCUCAGGGAUGUGAGUUCAAGUCUCGCAUUGGGCA